CAUCGAGAUUUUAUAGUCUGACAUCUGGAAUUUAAAUGUCUCAACAAGGGCGUUAGAUCCAACAACGUUCCACAAUGCUAAUGGGAGAAUUCAAAUUUGGGACCUCUCUCUCAUUUCUUCUCCUUUCACGCUUUGAAACAAAUAAAGGACACCCGAGAUCCCCGUAGAAGCUCUUGUUGGAAAAUUUAGAUUUCAAAUGUCAGAUUAUAAAACAUGGGUG
rnacentral:pre_miRNA from 1 species